rnacentral:rRNA from 1 species
CCUACGGGCGGCAGCAGUGAGGAAUAUUGGUCAAUGGCCGAGAGGCUGAACCAGCCAAGUCGCGUGAGGGAAGACGGCCCUACGGGUUGUAAACCUCUUUUGUCGGGGAGCAAAGCGAGUCACGUGUGCCUCAUUGAGAGUACCCGAAUAAAAAGCAUCGGCCAACUCCGUGCCAGCAGCCGCGUUAAUACGGAGGAUGCGUGCGUUAUCCUGAUUUACUGGGUGGAAGGGGCGUGCAGCCGGGAAGACAAGUCAGAUGUGAAAUCCCGCGGCUCAACCGCGGAACUGCAUUUGAAACUGUUUUUCUUGAGUAUCGGAGAGGUAAUCGGAAUUCCUGGUGUAGCGGUGAAAUGCGUAGAUAUUAGGAAGAACACCAGUGGCGAAGGCGGAUUACUGGACGACAACUGACGGUGAGGCGCGAAAGCGUGGGGAGCAAACAGGAUUAGAUACCCGUGUAGUC